rnacentral:rRNA from 1 species
UACGUAGGGUGCAAGCGUUGUCCGGAAUUAUUGGGCGUAAAGAGCUCGUAGGCGGUCUGUCGCGUCGGCUGUGAAAACCCGGAGCUCAACUCCGGGCCUGCAGUCGAUACGGGCAGACUGGAGUUCGGCAGGGGAGACUGGAAUUCCUGGUGUAGCGGGUGAAAUGCGCAGAUAUCAGGAGGAACACCGGUGGCGAAGGCGAGUCUCUGGACAGUUACUGACGCUGAGGCACGAAGGCCAGGGGAGCAAACGGG